rnacentral:rRNA from 1 species
AUUGGACGCUGGCGGCAGGCCUAACACAUGCAAGUCGAACGGUAGCACAGAGAGCUUGCUCUCGGGUGACGAGUGGCGAACGGGUGAGUAAUGUCUGGGAAACUGCCCGAGGGAGGGGGAUAACUACUGGAAACGGUAGCUAAUACCGCGUAACGUCGCAAGACCAAAGUGGGGGACCUUCGGUCCUCACACCAUCGGAUGUGCCCAGAUGGGAUUAGGUAGUAGGUGGGGUAAUGGAUCACCUAGGUUACGAUCCCUAGCUGGUAUGAGAGGAUGAACAGCCACACUGGAACUGAGACACGGUCCAGACUCCGACGGGAGGCAGCAGUGGGGAAUAUUGCACAAUGGGCGCAAGCCUGAUGCAGCCAUGCCGCGUGUAUGAAGAAGGCCUUCGGGUUGUAAAGUACUUUCAGCGGGGAGGAAGGCGGUGGAGUUAAUAACUUCACCGAUUGACGUUACCCGCAGAAGAAGCACCGGCUAACUCCGUGCCAGCCGCCGCAGUAA